UUUCAGGUAUCAGAUAGGUUUAAAAUAGUCCAUAAGUAUAGUGACAACAAAGGGAGAGUAGUCAUCAUUAAAGUAGAAACAAGAAAUGAAACAAUUACACUGGCUAACAUUUAUGCACCAACAAAAAGAACAGAGAAACGGGAAUUUUUUGAAUAUUUGAGUGAAAAAUUACACGACACAUAUAGAGGGGAUAGUUUGAUUUUAGGAGGGGAUUUUAAUUACAUCACGUCCACACUAGACAAGCAGUACACAACAACGGUAAAUCUUCCUUCACAGAUGAACACUACUAUUAAUAAUUUCUUGAAAGACAUUGAGUGUGAAUUUAAGUUACAGGAUGCAUACAGGAGUGUGAAUCCCACAGAGAGACAAUUAGGACUGGAAGAUGCAAGGUGGAAAUUUCUUUUGGUUACAUCCCUUUGACCAAAUUAAUAAAUUUUCAAGACAACCCAAACAGGACAGGAUUUCAUGAAAAUGGAGCAAA